rnacentral:rRNA from 1 species
CCUACGGGAGGCAGCAGUGAGGAAUAUUGGUCAAUGGACGAGAGUCUGAACCAGCCAAGUAGCGUGAAGGAUGACUGCCCUAUGGGUUGUAAACUUCUUUUAUAAAGGAAUAAAACGAGGCACGUGUGCCUUUUUGCAUGUACUUUAUGAAUAAGGAUCGGCUAACUCCGUGCCAGCAGCCGCGGUAAUACGGAGGAUCCGAGCGUUAUCCGGAUUUAUUGGGUUUAAAGGGAGCGUAGAUGGGUUGUUAAGUCAGUUGUGAAAGUUUGCGGCUCAACCGUAAAAUUGCAAUUGAUACUGGCAGUCGUGAGUACAGUUGAGGUAGGCGGAAUUCGUGGUGUAGCGGUGAAAUGCUUAGAUAUCACGAAGAACCCCGAUUGCGAAGGCAGCUUACUAAACUGUGACUGACAUUGAUGCUCGAAAGUGUGGGUAUCAAACAGGAUUAGAUACCCGGGCAGUC